CUCAGUUUAUUGUUUUGGCAAGGCUUUUAUGGUUAUUUGUGAUAUUUUUUUCUAAAAAUAAUGUUCAGGAAACAAAAUAGGAAAGAUAGGUAAAUAAUAUUGCCAAACAUAAUUAUAUAAAGGGUGAUUACUUAUUCAAUAAAAAUUCUGAUAUAACUAUAUUUGAAGGAAAAAUUGAUCAGAAGAGUGUCUGUGGAGGUGUUUACGGUGAGGAAGAGAAGUGAAUCUUCUAUUUGUGUAAUGGGAAAUCAAUGGAAAAUACUAAGCUUAAAAUUAAUAUGUAGCAUAUGUAUUAGAGUACAAUUUUGUCUCUGUAACAAAGACCCAAAAGAACCAUAGCUUAAAAGAAGCAUUACUGAUCUCUCCUGUGACUGUCUGAGGGUGUAAUCAAUGCCAGGGUGAUGCUUUGGCUUCAUGGUGUUGGUUCCAGUCUUCUAUGUCAUGGCUCCUUCCUUCCUACAGUGUGCUGGGUCCAAUCACUAUUCCAUGAAGCCUUCAUUCUCAAAAGCAGAUACAUGAGGAAGAGAUAAAUAGAGGUUAUUUCCUUCUCUUAUGGACAUAACCUGGAAGUUUUACAUACAUUUUCUCUCUUAUGCCUUUACUUAGAAAUUGGUCACGUGAUGACGCUGACUGUCAAGGGAAGUCACUGUAAUCUUUUCAUGGGUGGCUAUGAGCUCAGCUAAUUUUCCAUUUCUUGGAAAAAACAAAAAUAAUGAUUGGACAACUAGCCAUCUUUGCCAUAGCAUGAUGACAUGCAGGUAAAAACAACACAAAACGCCAAAUGGCUGAAAAUGUUUGCCUCUACUAAGAGGAAUAAGAUAGGAGAGACCACUGUUUCGCAUACACAUAUUUUUUGAAGUAAUUGAGCUUUUAAAACAUGUAUGGUUAACUUUGAUUAAAAAUUUUGUUAAUAAUAAUUUUAAAAAGCUUUAAGAACCAAAGUAUGGAUAAAUAAUUCAGCCAGGCUAAAGUGAGAAAGGGAAAGAGCGUUCCAUGAGGGAAAAUCACUUGUUGGAAGAGGAAAACUAGAUCUGUCUUGAGGCAAAAACCCAAAUGGGACUGAGCAUGGAAAACAACGGGUAAGGAAGUGGGUUGAGUUGAGGUUGAAGAUUUCAGGCAGGUCAACGCAGCAAACACUGCAAUAUAAGGGCUCUUCCAAGGAAAAAAAAAGCGGAUGAUUCUUUGUGAAUUCACAGAAACUAGCAAAGGUGGUAUUCACUCAAGAUGUUAGUGCAAUCUAACGUAAAAUAUCCUGACAUUGAGAGUGUGAAAAUACAGCAGGGGUCCAUUCCUGCAGGAUUUCCCCUAUGUUCCCUGUUGUUUAGCCUGUGAUUGAUUUGCGUGGGCUUCUGAAGAGAAACCGACUCCGGUGUGAACGGUUUUGGGAACCUCGGUCUCCUGCUGGCUCCCAGGUGCGCUAUCCGACGCAGCGAGACGCGGUGAGCCUACAGAAGGGCUGACCAGGCUCACCUGACGCCCCAGGUCGACAGCAAACCCCGUGCGCCCCGUUGGCCCGGUCACGCCCGCAGCCUGCUCAGGCGCCUCCUGCCUCGGGACCAGGAAGCGGAAGAAAGGGAGAGACCGGCCCGGCAAUUACGUUUCUAUCAUGUCUUGAACAUUUGUGUGAGUCCCACGAAAGCUAAGCCCGUUUAUUCCCCCUCGAAGCGUUUCCACUCAGUUCUUGAUCAUUCAUGUGAAAACGAGCCAUCUCCACGUCUCCCAAACGUCUUCAAACCGUUUCCUAAGUCUUGUAAGGCCGCCUGUGGGUUCCUAUUACAAACUCUGAAAUAAAAUACUCGGGAAACGUGGGUUAUCAAGACGAGGUGGCCGAGUGGUUAAGGCGAUGGACUGCUAAUCCAUUGUGCUCUGCACGCGUGGGUUCGAAUCCCACCCUCGUCGGGGGAGGUCUUUUAAUACGAAGAGGAGGAAACAACACCCAAGUCCAGCCAACUUCCCUUUCAACUCUCCUGGAAUUCAGGUCCCUGGCGUUGGAGAGGAAAAAGGAGCUCUUGUAAUUUUGUAUCAUCAGUAUAACGAUGGUGUUGCUGGGUUUUUUAACUUUAUGGUUGAUGGGGUAUUGAUUGUCAAUAUUGUGCGCGUGAUCAGUUUAAUGAGUACUCUUCUGGUGGGCUUUCUACCUGAUGACUGCAAAAACGCCUUCGAGCCUGAGAAAGGGGAGAGGGCAAUAGAGAGGAGAGGAAGGUGACGGUGGGGCUAGAAAGAGAGAGAGAUGAAGCUGCCAAAAAGGGGGAAAAACUUGAGGUGUGGUUAUCCCAGCCGCUUCUUUUAGAAAUCAUUACUACUGUGAACAUUAAAAUAAAUUCAUCAAAAAGAUAAGCAGAAAAAAACAAAAACAAAACAGCACGACAAAUACACCAACACAGAAAUUCAAUUACUUAGAUUCUCAAGACAAAUCGAGGGACCAACAUUGAAGAAACGUGUAGCACUGACGACAUGGCCACAAGAUUUUUGUUUUGUUUUGUUUUGUUAAAAAAAAAAAAAAGCAAGCAAGCAAGCCGGGCGCAGUGGCUCAAGCCUGUAAUCCCAGAACUUUGGGAGGCCGAGGCGGGUGGAUUACCUGAGGUCAGGAGUUCAACACCAGGCUGGCCAAUUCGGCGAAACCCCGUCUCUACUAAAAAAUACAAAAAAUUAGCAGGGCGUGGUGGGCGCCUGUAAUCCCAGCGACUCGGGAGGCUGAGGCGCGAGAAUCGCUUGAACCCAGGAGGCGGAGGUUGCAGUGAGCCGAGAUGGCGCCACUGCUCUCCAGCCUGGGUAAGAGAAAGAGACUCUCUCAAAAAACAAACAAAACAAGUUAUGCAAUUUGGAGUGCAAGAGGGACCCAGUUACCCCACUGACACUUUGACGCAGGAUAGGUAUUCAAGGAGGUGACCAUGGUCUUGGGACACAACAACCGUGGUGACCAUACAGUCAACACAAUAAGCCUCAGCAUUCACACUGAAAUUGAGCUCAUUCAAAUGAACAGCUAUCAAGAGGAAAUUUCCCCUAGAGACAGCAUGCGCAUUUUGACUUUACCUGUCCUUAGACUGAGCCUUUGCUCAUUACAAUAGUAAAAAACACACCGCUGGCUGGAGAUUUAAGAUGCCAAUGAGACAUACCAUGUAUGAACAAGCAUGUACAGCUACUGCGCAUGUGCACUCAGAGGACCACCCAGAAGAUGAUUACCAGUAACAUUUCUCACCUCCUUCUAAAUAGUCACCUAAGACUCCCAUAAAGGGAGCCUCCCUAGCCCCAAUCUUUGCUGUUUCAUCCUUAGGAGCAGCCCGCCCUGAAUUCUCUCUCUCUCAGGGUGUGCUGUCUAUUCUGCACCUAACUUACAAAAUAUUCUUUUUCCUUUGCAAUAAAUUAAUCUACGUUGCAC
rnacentral:tRNA from 1 species